rnacentral:rRNA from 2 species
UACAGAGGUCCCAAGCGUUGUUCGGAUUUAUUGGGCGUAAAGGGUGCGUAGGCGGUCGCCUAAGUCAGGUGUGAAAUCUCGGGGCUCAACCUCGAAACUGCACUUGAUACUGGGUGGCUUGAGUACUGGAGAGGAGACUGGAAUUUACGGUGUAGCAGUGAAAUGCGUAGAUAUCGUAAGGAAGACCAGUGGCGAAGGCGAGUCUCUGGACAGUUACUGACGCUGAGGCACGAAGGCCAGGGGAGCAAACGGG